GCUGGGCAUGGUGGCGCAUGCCUGUAAUCCCAGUGGCUUGGGACCUGAUACAGGAGGAUCACAAGUUCAAAGUCAGCCUCAGCAAUGGCAAGGCACUAAGCAACUCAGUGAGACCCUGUCUCUC
rnacentral:sRNA from 1 species